GCGCCGGGUAGUACGCGUUGGACAGCAGGAUCCGCUUGCAGCCGAUCCGGUAGUCGGGAGUCAGCUUCCUGCGAAGCUCCGGAUCCUUGACGGCGCG
rnacentral:tRNA from 1 species